rnacentral:lncRNA from 1 species
UAUCAUUGCUUCAUUAUCAUCUAUGUAAUGCUUGAUGUGUUGUCUUUGUGAUAACUUCAUCUUCGAUUGAAAAAACAAAUUUUUCCUUAUGUAUGCUUUGGUGUGCUCGAUCGACUAAGGAUUGUUAGUUCAAGUAAGGCCCAUAGGUUAGGCAUCUAUAAUCUACGUUAAGGGCUGGUCACAGGGCACAUCAGUCAAUGGCCAUCUUGCAUUGAGAUCGAUGAUCGAUCACACCGACUGG